rnacentral:rRNA from 1 species
GUAGGGAAUAUUGCACAAUGGGCGAAAGCCUGAUGCAGCAACGCCGCGUGAGCGAAGAAGGCCUUCGGGUCGUAAAGCUCUUUUCGGGGAGAUGAGGAAGGACAGUAUCCCCGGAAUAAGACUCGGCUAACUACGUGCCAGCAGCCGCGGUAACACGUAGGAGUCAAGCGUUAUCCGAAUUCACUGGGCGUAAAGCGCGUGUAGGCGGCGCAAAAAGUUGGAUGUAAAAGCUCCUGGCUCAACUGGGAGAGGACGUUCAAUACUUUUGUGCUAGAGGACGGCAGAGGGAGGUGGAAUUCCCGGUGUAGUGGUGAAAUGCGUAGAUAUCGGGAGGAACACCAGUGGCGAAGGCGGCCUUCUGGGCCGUUUCUGACGCUCAGACGCGAAAGCUAGGGGAGCGAACGGGAUUAGAUACCCUAGUAGUCC